ensembl:lncRNA
CGUGAAUGUUGCUUCUGUAUUUUUUUUAGGGGGGGGGCUCGUGGCGUGGGUAUCGCGGUGAUGCAGGGGCCUGUUGGGCAUCAAUAUAUCAGCGUUUCGUUCAACUUUGAGGCACGAGGGAGACACGCAUGUGGAGAAAUCGUUCUCCAAAUCCACACCGCAUGCUAGUGUGUAGUUGUCACAACUGUGUGGGUGUUAAAACAGUAAUAUCUUGAGGGGUGAGACAGAAAUAGUUAAAGGCUUCACAUGAUUGGCCAAUCCAGAGCUCACGUGACGGUGUUGGCAGCACCAGCAGCAUCAGAUCGCUUUCUGAGAUCUCACAUGUUAGUUAUGGCAAUGUGUUGUAGGCCCAGAAGUUGCUGUAGCCUGCAUUUCAAGGCAUAAUUACACAGUGUGAAUUUAUCCUGCAGAGCUGCAUCCUGCAGACUCUCUGACUCCUCUAAUACUCCAAGUGUAUUUCCUGUAUGAGCAGUGUAGCCUAAGUGAUGUCCCAUGGCUGUAAUUAACUUGACAUUAGGAGUGUGAUGUAUAAUUGGAUGUACAUGCACACCACUCGGUGUGCAAGAUGAAGCCCAGCUAGUGGAGUACUUGGGAGAAAGUGCAGGACUGAACUGCUGUGUGCUACCUGCUAUCGGUGUUUUUCCAUCACAUAACUGUGGGUUGUUUGGUUCUUUGCUACCCAACCAGAACCUGCAGGUGCAACACAUCAACAUCCCGCCGCAUCAGUCAUUCAGAGACUGGGCUGUACCCGGCCCUCUUCAGUGUAUUUUGAACAGGCUUUCGACUCAAAUCCAAGUUAGAUGAGGCAGAUAUGUUUGAAUCUGUGUUUCGCAGGGUGGAUUAUUUUUGUGUUCGCCUGUUAGAUAAGAACUAAAUAGGACAUCGGCUCAGAGUUUGAUCUAUUCUUAGAGCAGAAUCAGCAAGCCUCAGAGAUGACUGAAUAUCCCUGAAGUCCCUGCAUGCUCUAUUUAGACCAUGACUGACAAUAUUUGAUGUGCGCCGUUAGACAAGACAGCUCAAAUGAAAAAUGCCGGGAAUUUCAGCCCCUUAUUUAUCACCUCACAAUGAAGUCAAGCUGCCACCAGACAAGAUGAGGAGCAGCAAUCAGCCUGCAGAUGGAAACAAGGGUGGGUGGUUGGAAGGCUGGAUAAAGGCUGCUGGAUGACUGAACUCAGAGACCCGGCGCAGCUCAUCAUCAUUGCCAUGGGCUCUUGUCUUCUUCCUCUCCUCCUGUGGCUUGUACCUCCAUCCAGGGGUCCAGUAGAGCCAGUGAAGCCCAGGCGGGGAGCUAGUGAGUGGGCCGGGAAGGAUGGAGAAGGUCCCCAAAGGCUCAGAUCACCUCUGGAGCUACCGGCAUGCAGGAGAAAUCAAUAUGAAACAGAAAACCUUCACAGCUCUGAGUGGGGUUUCCUGUGUUUUAAGUGUGUGGCCUACGGGCCUGCAGACCUCCAAAAGACAGGUCCUGUGUGGUUCUCUCAGCUGCAGCCCUGGCUCCUUGGACUGGACCUCAGUCCCAAUCUCCACUGGCUGUGUGUGUGGUUCUGCUGAAGGGGAUUUCUCCCCAAAUAAUACCCAAUGCCCAGAACGUUGAAAGACUGCCAAGAGGGAUGCUCCUUUCUCUUGCCUUUUUUUUCCAUCAUAAGAUUGACGUAUCCCCCCAACCUCCUGCCUCGGGCUGAUAAAAAAAAAAAACAAAAUAAAAAAAAAAACACAGUUCGGGAGCUCUACUUUUGACUCAUUCUCCAUCCUCGACUCGCCCGUUGUUUAUUCCCCCAACUAGUUUUUACAUUUGACAAAGAGACAGAUCUUUAUUUUCUCUACCACUCGCUUGGCUUGCUGUUACUAUGGUGAGCUGUAGACACGUGUCUGUUCAAACAAGAAAUACUGGCACACGAAGUAUGAGCUUUUUUUUUUCUCCAUGAUGUCUAUUAUUCAAUUUCAGACUGUUUAAAAAAAACUGACUGAACAGCAAAGAGGGCUGGAGAUCAUAGAGCAGAGAGACCUUGUAGUGGAGAUGGUAAAAUGAUUGACGGCGCAGGAGAAAAAUCUGCUUGCGUUUGGCUCAAAGACCAGGCCUGUUCAUCUGUUGUUUUUCUGGUGUAUAACAAAACCUCAGAAACAAAGAUUUUGUUGUAAUAUGGGUUAACAUUGAUAUUUUAAAAACACCAAAAAAAAAAUGUUAUUUCAUUGUCUCUUAAGAUGUACUUUAUUGCCAACAAGCAUCUGGGGUUGAAUAAAGAAAUGUAUUUAAAGCUUUUAAAUAUAUAUUGUUUAUUGAGAGCCUUGUGUUUUGUUUGCUGUCCACUGCUGUAUUUGAUGCUCGUCAUUCGGCAAGAGUAUAGAGAAAAAUUUGAACUAAUUUUUUUAAUAAAAAGUCAGAUUGAUCACACCGCACUUUUAUUUUUGUGCCAGUUUUACAAUAAAGACUUUGUGUCUAAUGUAUAUAUAUGUGUGUGUAUAAACGCGCGGUCAAUAAAGUAACAUUAAUUUGAACCUCCUAUUUCCAGCUUUUUUUUUUUAUUACUUAGUUUUCAUUCUAAAUGCACAUUUCCCUAAAAUAUCUAAUAAGUCUAAUUUGGGCAUGAAGCUGUCACAUAUUUUUAUAAAGACCAAAAAAUGAUGGUGAAACUGAUUUUUUAACAUUCAGUUUAUUUUCUCACAUUUAUUUCAUUCAUUAUCGUAAGUCUAGCGCACUUAUAGCUAUUUACAAAACAAUACUACCUCCAGUGUCUUGUUACAUAAAGAAAUAUGCAAUAGAGAAAACUCACACAAUAACAUUUUCACUACAGUUAUUCUGACUUUUUGACAAACGUGGAAGUUUUUUUUGUUUGUUUGUUUUUUUAUUUGAUUUGUCUCAAUUUGCUGGUUUAGUGCAGAGGAAUAAACAGAAAUAUUAAAUCUUUUUGUUUUUACUUUUUAAAAAUUAUUUUUGUGUAGGCCCACACAUGCUAUUUGCCAUAAAAGACUGGUCUGUUUGUGCCUUUUUAAAUCAAACAGUGAAUGUAGAAUUUCUUUUCUUCUAGCUCAGCAAAAUUAGGCCCACACCAAACUGUGCUCAGACUCAGAGUGUAGUAGGUCAGGAAGAUUGGAAUAUUUGCAUUUUAAACAAACUGGCUUUUUGAAGCAUUUAAACAAAAAGGGGGGGAAAAGAUCGGGUUUUGAAGUUUUUAGCUACAUAUCUUUGACGUGGUUAAAAAACAAAAAUGCUCGCUAUACUGUCUACAGCACAGUUUUAAUAUUACUAACCAGAAAAGCAGGUGUAUUUGUAAAUCAAACACAAGGAGCUUAAUGGUAUAUUAU